UAAAUGGCAAAGACGGAGAAAAAGAUAUUCAGUAUAUUAACUACAGAGAGCUAACAAUUUGCUGAAAGUUAGUGUUAAUAGGAAUAUGAAAUAAUCACUCCUGAGCUUCCUGCUGAAAUGUAUAGUAAGCAAGGACGUAUAUCAGCGUUAUAUGAUUAGGGUUCAAGGUGUAUAUAUAUAGGGGUGUAUUCCUUCGACCUGAUAAGAGGUAGAUUUUGUCUACAACUAAGGUGGUACCGCGAAGAUAGUCCUUCGUCCUUAUA
rnacentral:ncRNA from 1 species